CCUGCACUACAAAGUGUGCACCGGCAAGGUGAAGAAGCACCUCGCCAAGAUGGAAGGUGAGCACCAACAUCUCUGAAAGUUUGGUGACAAAAUAAUGCAUCUUGAAUCCUGGGAAGACCAGUUACUUACUAAUAAUCUGUCAUUGAAGGAUAUGCUACAGCAAUGCAGCAAUUUGAAUUGAUAUUCACAUUGAAUUAAUGACUUGUCUUGUUGUAUGCAAUUGAAACAUACCCAUAUAAAAGAAGUCUAUUCCAUGCAGCAUUUUUACUGUUUUACUCAACUUGUUUUUGUUGUUACUUGAUACAUACUACCUCCGUCCCAUAAUAAACCAUCAAAUGUACUCCUGGGAGGGAUAAACAUCUGUUUUAGAACAUGGGUUGAAGCUGACUGUACUUGCUUACUGAGAAUAUGAAAAUGAGAUAUUCUGUUUGCUAAUAUGAAGAUAGCAUUGUGUUUAAUCCAGUACUGAUGAUUGUUUUUUCAUUCCCAUAAAAACUUGUUAAUGAUGGUGAUUUUGUACAAGCAUAUAAACUUGUUUUUGUUGUCACUUGAUACAUACUUACCUUGUACUUGAAGUUGUGGGUUAAUGCUGGUAAUUUUGUUCUACUUGUAUGCAUUGGUACCCCCAUCAUCGAGCGCACGGAUGCAAUAGUGGCAAGAAGAUCAUGGUCGUGUGCAUCAUCAAGCACACCAUGGCGAGCAUCCACCUCCUCACAGUGGCAAGAAGAGCAGGUGCCUAGUUUGUAAUCACUGUCGAAGGAGCUCCAUGCUGAAGAACAUAACACUUGUAGAGCUUGUAAAGUACCAUGUUAUUGAACUUGUGGAGCAUGUAACUGUGACUGCCAUACUGUUGUUACACUUGUAGAGCUUGCAAAGUGUAUGUUAGAGCUUAUUACGUGUUAUUUGUACAGCAGCAGCUCUGUACUGACUCUGGCAGAUAAUAUUUGAAGUAUUUUGUGUGUUUUCUGUGUGCCAAUUUAAAUAUUAUGUAUUUA
rnacentral:lncRNA from 1 species